UCCCCUCUCCCAGCUCGUAGUAGCGCUGCGGCGCAGUCUCGGCCGCUCCCUCGCUGAGGAGUGCGAGCCUCGCUCUUGGUCACCGCGGGGUGACGCGCAAGUCUGCGCACGGCACCAACUCUCUCUGCCUCUCAUUCUUUUUUUUUCCGACGUGUUCCUCUACCUCUUCUCGUUCUAACACGCCCCUCCUUGUUGUCCAGGUCUGCCCGUAUCCCGCGCCGUCGACGUAGGCCGUACGGACCGGAGAAGAAGGCUUCGCCGGUAUCGUCUCCGUCGAGGACCAACGCCCGGCGGCCACCUUCGAACACCGCCGCACGGCGCACCGUCCCGUCCUUGACGCUACACACGCGCACGUCCGCGUCGCCAACCAGGAGAAGCCAACGCGUCCGAGACACUGAGUCGAACCGCCCAGACCAUCCCCUUCAUCCCCACGUCGUCCCUUCGUCGCCUCCGUCAAGCACCGGCCGUCCAGAUGCGAACAAUUCCGGAGAAAAAGAAGAAGAAGUGGUUCGAACGAGGAUUUUAUUUAUAUUGUUGGAAUUCUUAUUUGAAUGGAGUUGAAGAAGUCCAGAGACAAAUAAGCCA